AUGAAUUGCGUAAGUUGGAACUGUCGGGGAGUGGCCAACAAGCCGACAGUUCGUGAUCUGGUUGGCCUAGUUAAAGAAACAAAAGCAAAGUUAGUUUUUCUAUGUGAGACUAGACAAAGUUAUGAGAAAGUGAAACGUCUUCGUGGUAGAUUAGGCCUAAGAGGUUUUUCUGGUGUUAGUAGUAAUGGCUUGAGUGGUGGAUUGGCUCUGUUUUGG
rnacentral:rRNA from 1 species